rnacentral:rRNA from 1 species
CACGCCACUUGCCGUCGACGGUAAUGCCCUUCGUAGUCACGAGCGGCGAACGGGUGAGUAACACGUGAGCAACCUGCCCCUGACUCUGGGAUAAGCGGUGGAAACGCCGUCUAAUACCGGAUACGACCCACCACCUCAUGGUGGAGGGUGGAAAGUUUUAUCGGUCAGGGAUGGGCUCGCGGCCUAUCAGCUUGUUGGUGGGGUAACGGCCUACCAAGGCGAUUACGGGUAGCCGGCCUGAGAGGGCGACCGGCCACACUGGGACUGAGACACGGCCCAGACUCCUGCGGGAGGCAGCAGUGGGGAAUAUUGCACAAUGGGCGAAAGCCUGAUGCAGCGACGCCGCGUGGGGGAUGACGGCCUUCGGGUUGUAAACCUCUUUUACCACCAACGCAGGCUCCACGUUCUCGUGGGGUUGACGGUAGGUGGGGAAUAAGGACCGGCUAACUACGUGCCAGCAGCCGCGGUAAUACGUAGGGUCCGAGCGUUGUCCGGAAUUAUUGGGCGUAAAGAGCUCGUAGGCGGCAUGUCGCGUCUGCUGUGAAAGACCGGGGCUUAACUCCGGUUCUGCAGUGGAUACGGGCAUGCUAGAGGUAGGUAGGGGAGACUGGAAUUCCUGGUGUAGCGGUGAAAUGCGCAGAUAUCAGGAGGAACACCGGUGGCGAAGGCGGGUCUCUGGGCCUUACCUGACGCUGAGGAGCGAAAGCAUGGGGAGCGAACAGGAUUAGAUACCCUGGUAGUCCAUGCCGUAAACGUGGGCGCUAGGUG